UAAAUGAUAAUAUUAAAAUAUAUAACUGAAAAUCUUGGGGUUUGGCCGUGGCCUGUUUGGUGUUUUUAAUUUUGUUUGCGAUUUAGUGAACAAAGUACCUAAUUAAUAUAAAUUUCGAUGUGCUAAUCCCUGAAUAUAAUAUACAGAAUUCAGAUGUUCCGAGUUUCCGUCAUACAUUUACUUUGGAUGUCUUAAGAAGAAUGGUUGCUCACCAGUGUUUAGGUGCAGUUUAGUCUAAGAAUAAAAAAGCAGAAUCUGCACUACAUAGUCCUCGCUACAAUUGAACAAUUCCAUGCUGUGUCACUAUGAGUUAUCAGUACUGUGAUAUUGCAAUCAAUUCAGAUACACCACAUGUUUCUGAAACUUGGAUUGACAUUGCUCAAGAAUUAAGAGUGCUUAAGAAUUAUUCCUCACUAAAAUCAAUUAUAUCUGGCUUACAAUUCAAUUCAGUAUUUAAAUUAAAGAAAACAUGGCAUUCGGUUCCUUGAGACAAGGUGAAAUUGUUUCAAGAACUUGCGCGGACAUUUAGUGAAGAAAAUAAUAGAAUAAGGUACAGCAAAAUUUGCUGAUACAUUUAGACACAAUGAUAGACAUUUACAAAAAAUUAUUCAAAAACAGCAGAGUACAAUGAGUAUAUUGAGUUACAUUGUGCAUUAUAUACAGCAAAUAAUACCAAUUAUUUUUUUUCUUCAUAUUUUAAUAAAGUAAUUAAUGGAAUAUUUUUAGAAGUUAAACAUUGGAACUAUACUGUACUUAGAGACAUUUCUAACUGAUUUAACCAUGAUUGAUGCUGCAACUCUCGAUCUCUUGCCUGAUGGUCUAAUUAAUUUUGAUAAAAAAAAAGAAAAGAAUGAAGUAUUAGCUCAAUUCUGGAUGACAGAGAAGCGUUCAGAACUUCUUGUCAAAUAGAACCAUCAAAUAAUAUACCAUCAUCAUGUGCGAAUUCAGUAAUAUGAAUUGGAAAGAACAAAAGUAUUUGAAGUAUGAACAUAAAAAGAAUGAUUUGAUUUUAAGCAAUUGUAGCAGCAAAACUUUCUAUGGAUUAUUCGAUGAUGAUUUGCACUCACCAAAUAUCUCUUUAGAUGAACAGGUAAUACAAUUUUGCUGAGCAAUAAUCCAAUUUUAAUAACGCAGCGGCCUCAACACAUUUAAAUUGCAAAGAAACACAUAACUAGUUUGGACAUUGGUAUCUUUUCUGAAGGGAAAGUGCAUCUAGUCGGAUGCGUUAAACAGGUUGUCAAACCCGUUCCCAUUUGCAACGAGGAAAGACAAACAUCUUUGAAAAAAUAGUAUGCAGUUGCCAGAAAGAUUCAGUGGCUGUUAUUAAAAUUCUUCAACUAACGACAAUGGACAUAAUUGAGGAAGACUUUUAAUUGUAGGUAUAUUCUGAUAGGUACCUAUUUCCUUUAAUUUGUGUACU